CCUCUCGUGGCGUAGGGGUAAUGCACCCUAUCUAGCGAACAGGGAGUCGUGAGUUCGAUUCUCAUCAAGAAGA
rfam:Aedes aegypti strain Liverpool supercont1.53 genomic scaffold, whole genome shotgun sequence.